GAGGGUAUAGCUCAGUGGUAGAGCAUUCCACUGCUAUUCGAGAGCUUCCGGUUCAUACCCGGCUGUCCUCU